CUACACGACCGUACCGCAAACCGACACUGGUGCGCGAGAUGAGUAUUCUAAGGCGCUUGAGAGAACUCUGGAGAAGGAACUCGGCAAAUUGACACCGUAACUUCGGAAGAAGGUGUGCCUUUAGUAGGUGAAGUCCCUCGCGGAUGGAGCCCAAUGAGGUUGCAAAAAAUCGGUGGCUGCGACUGUUUAAUAAAAACACAGCACUCUGCAAAGACGAAAGUCGACGUAUAGGGUGUGACGCCUGCCCGGUGCUGGAAGAUUAAAUGAUGGGGUGCAAGCUCUUGAUUGAAGUCCCAGUAAACGGCGGCCGUAACAAUAACGGUCCUAAGGUAGCGAAAUUCCUUGUCGGGUAAGUUCCGACCUGCACGAAUGGCGUAACGAUGGCCACACUGUCUCCUCCAGAGACUCAGCGAAGUUGAAAUGUUUGUGAUGAUGCAAUCUCCCCGCGGAAAGACGGAAAGACCCCAUGAACCUUUACUGUAGCUUUGUAUUGGACUUUGAACAGAUCUGUGUAGGAUAGGUGGGAGGCUUUGAAGCAGGGUCGCUAGAUCUUGUGGAGCCAACGUUGAAAUACCACCCUGGUGUGUUUGAGGUUCUAACCUAGGUCCAUUAGCUGGAUCGGGGACAGUGCAUGGUAGGCAGUUUGACUGGGGCGGUCUCCUCCCAAAGCGUAACGGAGGAGUUCGAAGGUACGCUAGGUACGGUCGGACAUCGUGCUAAUAGUGCAAUGGCAUAAGCGUGCUUAACUGCGAGACUGACAAGUCGAGCAGAUGCGAAAGCAGGACAUGGUGAUCCGGUGGUUCUGUAUGGAAGGGCCAUCGCUCAACGGAUAAAAGGUACUCUGGGGACAACAGGCUGAUACCGCCCAAGAGUUCAUAUCGACGGCGGUGUUUGGCACCUCGAUGUAGGCUCAUCUCAUCCUGGGGCUGUAGCCGGUCCCAAGGGUAUGGCUGUUCGCCAUUUAAAGAGGUACGUGAGCUGGGUUUAAAACGUCGUGAGACAGUUUAGUCCCUAUCUUCCGUGGGCGCUGCAGAUUUGAGGAAGCCUGCUCCUAGUACGAGAGGACCGGGGUGGACACACCUCUGGUGUAUCGGUUGUCACGCCAGUGGCAUUGCCGAGUAGCUGAGUGUGGAAGAGAUAACCGCUGAAAGCAUCUAAGCGGGAAACUCGUUUCAAGAUGAGAUCUGCCGGGGCCUUGAGCCCCCUAAAGAGUCGUUCAAGACCAGGACGUUGAUAGGUCAGGUGUGGAAGCGCAGUAAUGCGUUAAGCUAACUGAUACUAAUUGCUCGUGCGACUUGACCGA
rnacentral:rRNA from 1 species